rnacentral:lncRNA from 1 species
GUUUACAUCAAAGUGGGAUGGACCAUACGUAAUACAAAAGGUCUAUACCAACGGCGCCUACUUAAUCAUGGAAAAAGACGGCUUGAAGAUCGACCCUAUCAAUGGAAGAUUCUUGAAGCACUACUACCCCUAAAAGGCGACAACCAACGCUCCUUGUUCGCACGAGCCUAAACUGCACAAACCAAAUGAUGUAAAAUAUAUAAGCACACAAAUUAAACCCUCUUUUAUCAAUUGUAGUAAAGUAUGUAAGUAGGGAUCGUUCUAGGCCGGGGAUUAGGAGGGAUUGCAAAAUCACUUGAAAACUGACUCAAUUACGUAAAAACAAGUUUAAAACACUAAACUAUACUCAAAGAAUGCAAAGCUAAACUUUAAAAUACCAAAACAAACCAAAAGACUCAAAACAGCACCAAAACACUCAAAACUGCCUUAAAAACACAAUCUGGGCAGUUUUGAACACUAAGGAAGAAUUUGAACGAAAAUAUGUUAUAACUUGACUCAAGACACUUAAAACACGAACUAAAUUGAUUUCUAACUAAUAUGACUCAACAAAAUAAAGGGGGAUUGAUUUUAGACGAAUUUGAAAACAAAACAAGAACUUU